GGGGACAUUCCACGUUCUCUGUGCCGUAGCUAACGCAUUAAGUACCCCGCCUGGGGAGUACGGCCGCAAGGCUAAAACUCAAAGGAAUUGACGGGGCCCCGCACAAGCGGCGGAGCAUGCGGAUUAAUUCGAUGCAACGCGAAGAACCUUACCUGGGUUUGACAUAUAUCGGAAACGUUCAGAGAUGGGCGCCCCGUAAGGUCGGUAUACAGGUGGUGCAUGGCUGUCGUCAGCUCGCGUCGUGAGAUGUUGGGUUAAGUCCCGCAACGAGCGCAACCCUCGUCCAAUGUUGCCAGCGGGUUAUGCCGGGGACUCAUUGGAGACCGCCGGGGUCAACUCGGAGGAAGGUGGGGAUGACGUCAAGUCAUCAUGCCCCUUAUGUCCAGGGCUUCACGCAUGCUACAAUGGCCGGUACAAAGAGUUGCGAGCCUGUGAGGGUGAGCGAAUCUCAAAAAGCCGGUCUCAGUUCGGAUUGGGGUCUGCAACUCGACCCCAUGAAGUCGGAGUCGCUAGUAAUCGCAGAUCAGCAACGCUGCGGUGAAUACGUUCCCGGGGCUUGUACACACCGCCCGUCAAGUCAUGAAAGUCGGUAACACCCGAAGCCGGNNNNCUAACCCGUUUGGGGGGGAGCUGUCGAAGGUGGGACUGGUAAUNNGGACUAAGUCGUAACAAGGUAACC
rnacentral:rRNA from 1 species